rnacentral:rRNA from 1 species
UGGGCAACCUGCCCUCAGCUCUGGGAUAACUCCAGGAAAUUGGGGCUAAUACCGGAUAUGACUGCUGACCGCAUGGUCUGGUGGUGGAAAGNUUUAUGUGGUUUUGGAUGGACUCGCGGCCUAUCAGCUUGUUGGUGAGGUAAUGGCUUACCAAGGCGACGGACGGGUAGCCGGCCUGGAGAGGGUGACCGGCCACACGUGGGACUGAGACACGGCCCAGACCUCCGUACGGGGA